GAUGAACGCUAGCGGCAGGCUUAAUACAUGCAUGUCGAGGGGCAGCAGUUUUGUAGCAAUACAGAAGCUGGCGACCGGCAAACGGGUGCGGAACACGUACGCAACCUUCCUUUAACUGGAAGAUAGCCCACCGAAAGGUGGAUUAAUACUCCAUAAUAUAUUGAAGAGGCAUCUUUUUGAUAUUAAAGCUCCGGCGGUUAAAGAUGGGCGUGCGUCUGAUUAGGUAGUUGGCGGGGUAACGGCCCACCAAACCUUCGAUCAGUAGCUGAUGUGAGAGCAGGACCAGCCACACGGGCACUGAGACUCGGGCCCGACCCCUACGGGGGGCAGCAGUAAGGAAUAUUGGUCAAUGGACGCAAGUCUGAACCAGCAAUGCCGCGUGGAGGAUGAAGGCCCUCUGGGUUGUAAACUUCUUUUCUUUGGGACGAAACCCCUGUUUCUACGGGGACUGACGGUACCAGAGGAAUAAGCACUGGCUAACUCCGUGCCAGCCGCCGCAGUAACAC
rnacentral:rRNA from 1 species